rnacentral:rRNA from 1 species
AUUGAACGCUGGCGGCAUGCCUAACACAUGCAAGUCGAACGGAGGUAGGGGCAACUCUACUUCAGUGGCGGACGGGUGAGGAAUGCGUCGGAAUCUACCCUAUGGUGGGGGAUAACACAGGGAAACUUGUGCUAAUACCGCAUAAUGUCGAGAGACCAAAGCAGGGGACCGCAAGGCCUUGCGCGAUAGGAUGAGCCGACGCCCGAUUAGCUAGUUGGUAGGGUAAAGGCCUACCAAGGCCACGAUCGGUAGCUGGUCUGAGAGGAUGAUCAGCCACAUUGGGACUGAGACACGGCCCAAACUCCUACGGGAGGCAGCAGUGGGGAAUAUUGGACAAUGGGCGAAAGCCUGAUCCAGCCAUGCCGCGUGAGUGAUGAAGGCCCUAGGGUUGUAAAGCUCUUUUAACGGGGAAGAUAAUGACGGUACCCGUAGAAUAAGCCCCGGCUAACUUCGUG